UACGAAGGGGGCUAGCGUUGCUCGGAAUUACUGGGCGUAAAGCGCACGUAGGCGGCUUUCUAAGUCGGGGGUGAAAUCCUGGAGCUCAACUCCAGAACUGCCUUCGAUACUGGAGAGCUUGAGUCCGGGAGAGGUGAGUGGAACUGCGAGAGUAGAGGUGAAAUUCGUAGAUAUUCGCAAGAACACCAGUGGCGAAGGCGGCUCACUGGCCCGGUACUGACGCUGAGGUGCGAAAGCGUGGGGAGCAAACAGG
rnacentral:rRNA from 1 species